ACAGCAUUGCACAAGCAACAAGAGUACAGAGGCUGAGCAUCGGCAGGGGAUGCAGCAUUGGAAGGGACAGAAAUGUAUUUGGGAGAAGCUGUACAUGCUUCCUAGAUUAUUGGAAAGCUGCAAAACUACGAGACAAAUCUGGCAAAGGGAAAAGGGGCAGGAGGCCAUGUAGGAAGAAUACUGCCCUUGAGAUACAGGUAAAAACAGCAAGAGUUGCAGUGUGUGAGAGGACAGAAAUAACAGCGGGAGCUCAACAAAAGCAGCGGAUGUAGCAGGGGCUGAGGCAGGUUACUCAUUGAUGAGAGCCUCUGGCUGUGGGCAAGGCUCAGGCGGCCACAGAAAGCCCACAGGGCAGCUCCCAGCUGCGCUACAAGCCUCUGUCCCACCGUCCCCAGCUCAGAGCAAAGCAGAAACUCGAAGCAGACGCUGCUCCCCAAAAGCAGCGCCCAAAAUGAUGCUAGGGCAGGUGCCAUGGGCAAGGCUGUCUCCUUCUGGUCCUGCCAUCCUGCUGCUGGCCCUCUGUACUGGCGUGACCACCCAGGACAUCUGCAGCUCUCAAGGAUUUCAGGUGCAUGGAGGUAACGACCAGACUCCAGUCCUGUACCUCAAUGCUUCCAGUGCCAAGGAGGGGGAAAUUGUGCUGCUUCAAUGUAUCCUCGAUGAGCAGUUUCCUCCUACACGAGUUGUCUUCUGCAAGAAUGGGCUGGAGGAGUUCAGCCUGAAAGCCCAGCAGGGCAGGCUCAUCUACGCUCUGGUCCUGAACAUCAACUCCAGAAGUGCUGGGACGUACACGUGUGGGUACCAGCAGAGGAACAAGAAAAACUAUGUGAGGAACUCUGCUCUCAGUGCUCCCCAGACCUUGUCUGUGGCAGGUGCUGGUGAGACCACCACUGACAUCCACAGCUCCAAUGCUCCACAUGCCCGGAUCCCACACACCCUCCCCACAGGCACGGUGCUGGCAGUGGCGGCCGUCAGCCUCGUCCUCUUGUCUGCAGUCAGCUGGUUUGCCAUCAGGAAAGGUGCCUGCAGAGGGAGAUGCCCAAGGCAUCAGCACGUUGGCAGACCACAGAUGGAAGACACCAGCAAAGGCGAAGUCCAGUGUGUGUACUACCUCCUCCCUUGGGGGAAGCCACAUGCCCCUCUGACCAUGGUCACCCCUGCUUGUACAUUCCCCGUGCAAUCCCAACACUUCAUUUCCCACUGGGACAUACAAAAUCCCUGCCCGUUCAUCAAGGCCAGGUUUCUCUCCAGCACCUCAUGUCCUGCUUCUUCCUUGCAUGCAGAGUGUGGCUGCUGCCUGCACAAGGGACAUGGCAGCAUCCCAGUGCUCCCAGGGACAAAGCCCAUUUGCGUGGGGGUUCCUUCCACACCAGCUCCAGCCCCAGGCUUCAAUUCCCCUGCUCCAGCCUCUGCUUUUGUCCUUUCUUCAGUUUCCUGUCAGAGGAAUUUCUGCUCAGAGAAGCAAAAAGCACCGCGCAGCAAUGAAAGAUGUGGCUCCUUGCCCUGGUGGGGAAAACAUUUUAGAGCUUGCUCUGAAACCACAGGCAGCAGCCAAGGGAGGAUGUUGUGGUUGGGUGACAGGCUAUAGAUAUAUCCCCACCCUACUUGCACCUCACUCAAGUUGCAGCACAACCUUGUUUACCCACGCCUGCACAGAGCAGCUCGCAAGGUGUGCUGGCUGUGCAAAGAGAGGAGAUUCCACAGAAAGCUGGAAAUACACCAAAACCUCAGCAUCUCUGCUCCAUCGCUGCUGCUUAAUUUUCAUCCCAGUUCAGGGUGAUGGGAGAGGAAAUGUGGCCGGGCUUUGAGAGCUGACCUCAGGCAGCUGCUGACCAAGGUCAGUGUGAGUUUCAGCCCUCCACCAACAGGCAGCAAGGGAUCAUGGUGUGUUUUUUUUGCCCCCACAGACUCCACCAUCACCCACGUUCGAUGGGACAGGCCUCCUCCCAUGCAGCAGAUGAGCGACACCACGACGUAUGCCACGGUGACCCACACCCAGACCCGAUAGAGCUGCCACAGGGCAAGGGCACAGGAGCCUUGUCCACAGAUACCUUUGCUCUGUUCAAGAGGGCUUGUGCAGCCAUAACGUGGAGCUGGGGUUGCACUUUGGUCUUCUUUGUUUGUUUUGUUUUGUUUUUUUUUUGUCACAGGGAAGGGCUGUGAGUGUCUAGCCAAGACGAUAUAGGACUCAUACCUCCAUCUACAAGACAUAAAUACUUCUAAAAUAUAUGAGCUAUACCAAA